rnacentral:rRNA from 1 species
CCUACGGGAGGCAGCAGUGAGGAAUAUUGGUCAAUGGGCGCGAUCCUGAACCAGCCAAGCCGCGUGAGGGAAGACGGUCCUAUGGAUUGUAAACCUCUUUUGUCGGGGAGCAAAAGACGCCACGCGUGCCGUUCCGAGAGUACCCGAAGAAAAAGCAUCGGCUAACUCCGUGCCAGCAGCCGCGGUAAUACGGAGGAUGCGAGCGUUAUCCGGAUUUAUUGGGUUUAAAGGGUGCGCAGGCGGAAGAUCAAGUCAGCGGUAAAAUUGAGGGGCUCAACCCCUUCGAGCCGUUGAAACUGGUAUUCUUGAGUGAGUGAGAAGUAUGCGGAAUGCGUGGUGUAGCGGUGAAAUGCAUAGAUAUCGCGCAGAACUCCGAUUGCGAAGGCAGCAUACCGGCGCUCAACUGACGCUCAUGCACGAAAGUGUGGGGAUCGAACAGGAUUAGAUACCCCAGUAGUC